rnacentral:rRNA from 1 species
GGCGGGGCUACCCGCUGAGUUUAAGCAUAUC